rnacentral:tRNA from 5 species
GGGAGCGUAGUGUCAAUGGCAGCACAACGGUCUCCAAAACCGUUCGUCAAGGUUCGAAUCCUUGCGCUCCUGCCA